rnacentral:rRNA from 1 species
ACUCCUGCGGGAGGCAGCAGUGGGGAAUAUUGCACAAUGGGUGCAAGCCUGAUGCAGCCAUGCCGCGUGUAUGAAGAAGGCCUUCGGGUUGUAAAGUACUUUCAGCGGGGAGGAAGGCGAUAAGGUUAAUAACCUUGUCGAUUGACGUUACCCGCAGAAGAAGCACCGGCUAACUCCGUGCCAGCAGCCGCGGUAAUACGGAGGGUGCAAGCGUUAAUCGGAAUUACUGGGCGUAAAGCGCACGCAGGCGGUCUGUCAAGUCGGAUGUGAAAUCCCCGGGCUCAACCUGGGAACUGCAUUCGAAACUGGCAGGCUAGAGUCUUGUAGAGGGGGGUAGAAUUCCAGGUGUAGCGGUGAAAUGCGUAGAGAUCUGGAGGAAUACCGGUGGCGAAGGCGGCCCCCUGGACAAAGACUGACGCUCAGGUGCGAAAGCGUGGGGAGCAAACAGGAUUAGAAACCCCUGUAGUCCCAU